rnacentral:lncRNA from 1 species
UUCUUUAUAAACUAUAUGAGAUGUAUAUUUGUUCUUAGAUGCUCGUGACUUUAUGUUCUAUUUGUAAGCUUAGUGAUUAAAUUCCUCAUGUUAAUAUGAUGAGUUUAAAUGUGUGAAAGAUGGAUCUAUUUCAUGGCUUGAACUGUCUUCGACUUUAAUUUCCUAUAUUGAUUUUGGUUCUCUGUCUUGUCUUUCUUCAUAAUUAGUGUUU